rnacentral:lncRNA from 1 species
GCUUAGGGAAAGGAAGGGAAAGGAGUCAAGCAUAAUGACAGACAAGCACCACCCCUGCCUGUUGUGAGGAUGAGAGAUUGGCAGCUCAGGGACUACCACUGCUCAUUAGGAUCCCAGGGAGGAAUUUCAUUCCCUACCUUGGAAGAGUAUAAAAGACCCUUUGUCUGGGUUAAAUAGAAGACUGACGGUGUGAUGGAGUGUGUACUGCAGUUCGGCUCACCAGGUAUGCUGAUUUGAGCUCCUUCUCUUCUUUCUUGUAUGAGCCACAUUCAUAAUGGAUCCAAU